UACAGAGGUCUCAAGCGUUGUUCGGAUUCAUUGGGCGUAAAGGGUGCGUAGGUGGCGCUGUAAGUCAGGUGUGAAAUUUCGGAGCUUAACUCCGAAACUGCAUUUGAUACUGCGGUGCUUGAGGGCUGGAGAGGAGACUGGAAUUCCCGGUGUAGCGGUGAAAUGUGUAGAGAUCGGGAGGAACACCGGUGGCGAAGGCGGGUCUCUGGGCAUUUCCUGACGCUGAGGCGCGAAAGCGUGGGGAGCAAACGGG
rnacentral:rRNA from 1 species